AGGCAGAUCAGGGCCAAUAUAGCCCAAAGCAGGAAAAUGGCAGACAGAAAAAAACCCAGAAUAUUCUAGGGACAGCAUACUGUUUUGCAAAGUCAUUUUACUAGAUGCAAGAGUGUAAAAGAAGAGAUGAAGGCUAUGGACAGAAGGAUAAGCAGCAGGGCUUGUGGUCCCCAAACUAUAAUGUUCUGCUUCUUCUUUGAAAACCACAGACAUGAGUCACAGAGACGUGUAUUACAUUCCUUGAAUGCAUACGUGAUAACCAACCCAUUGCAACUGGUAAAAAUGUGCCUUCCUUUAAGAAAGGUUCUGAGCAUUAGAUGUUAAAGCAAUGACAUUUCAGUAGCAUAACGAGGGAUGGGAAAGCAAGGCAUUAACCCUGGGCACUGAUUUAGAUAGGGCGCUAGAAUACCAUUCCCUGGAGAUCCUGCCCCCUUGCUGCCCAUGCUACAAAGGCAGCCACUGAUAAGGAGGUUGGCUGAUCUCUUCCAAAGAGCUUUAAAUUAGGUUCAACGGGGGACGGGGAACCGGUGGUCAGUGAGAACCCUGGGUUGGAAAGCCAAACAAAGCACCGGACCUAACCAGGCUCGGGAAACCACGUGGCAUCUGUCAGAAGAAACAACUUUUGAGCUGUCAGCCUGUAGAUCAUCCAAGGAGGUCUUUGCUGCAGAAAACGCCGGUGCUUCAGAUAAGUUAUUUGACCCAACAGUCUUUCCUGCCCAGAGCAGGAUGGUCUCACGCGGUCCCUUCCAGCCCUAAACUUCUGGGAAUCUGUGGAAGUGGAAAGCAGCCCAUCAGAAUUGGGCUGUGCUGGGCAGAGGUCUGCAGGUUCGUUCUCAGGCGAAGGCCUCGUAUGGCAAAAGACUCGGGGCCUGAAGCAGAGGGUGUGUAAGAGCUGGGGCUGCAUUCACCACAGGUGACCCACACCCCCUCCAGGAGACCUCUUGCAAACUCUCCACCCUAGCCGGCAGCUCUGCGGGGUCCAGCCCAGCAGGUGCUGCCUACAGCAUCAACAAUAGCUGCAGCGUGGGUCCUGGCACACAAAAGCGGGGCAGCGAAAGGGAGCAAGGGGGCGUUUCUCAGCUGUCUCCAGACCACUAUUCAAAUGCAA